AAUUUGCCUGGAUGGAUUCUUCUAAUAGUUUCUUUUGUUGCGGUUUGUUUGCUGCGCGGUGGAGUCGUAAUACCUGUUCAUUUUACCAAAGCUUUUUUUUUUUGGGGGUUCAAUCGAACCGACGUUCCCCACAGCUGAGUCCGCCCCUGAGCUGCAAACAUGGGAGAAGGUGGAGAAGAGAAGUCGUUGAAUUUCUUUCAGGUUUUGCGCGGAGCGUCAAUUCCUCUCCUACAUGUCUGCAUUAGUAGUCAUGUACUUCGUUUUGCUGCUCCGCAAUGCAUCCGAUUUUCUUGGUUGCUGAUGGUCACUGGUGUGAGCUAGGAAGGUGCAGGUCCCACGAUAAUGUAGCUGUUUUUUGUUUAUGGAUAGCUUUGUCUUUUCAGAGGGCAGCAUAGCUGGAGGAACCGCUGGUGUUGUGGUGGAAACAGCCCUGUACCCAAUUGAUACAAUAAAAACCAGGCUUCAGGCUGCUCAUGGUGGAAGCCGAAUUGAAUGGAAAGGCUUGGAUUAGCUGGAAAUCUCGCUGGCGUUCUCCCCUAUAACAACACCCCUUGAUGUCAUGAAGACAAGAUUGAUGGUUCAGGGACAAGGAAACCAGUACUCUGGAAUAGUAAGCUGUGCUCAGACAAUCCUGAGGUGAGGAAGGCCCUAGGGGAUUCUUGAAGGUAAAGUAUCACGGAUAUAAACAGCUUCAAUAAUUCUAACUACAAAAAAAUAAACACUAUGUGACCUGAUGUGAACCUGAAGCUUUUGGAUUAGUUGUCGAAUGAGUUCUCGAUUCUGACUUGCCAGCACAGUUCAGUUUAAACUAUGUUUUGGCCUAGCAAAUGAUGCGCAGCCUUAUCUAGUGCGUAUUUUAUGACGUUGGUCCUCU